rnacentral:misc_RNA from 1 species
AACGCACAUUGCGCCCCUCGGCAUUCCGGGGGGCAUGCCUGUCCGAGCGUCAUUACGAAAUCUAGCCUCUGGCUUAGUGUUGGGUAUCGUCCGCGCAGGACAAGCCCGAAAAUCUGCAGAGGUCGCGAUUGGCCCUGACCCCAGUGAAAUGUCAGGCUGAUGGGUCCGGUCGCGCUCUCUGGCCACCUGGAUGGGCCUGGUGGAUGGUGUUGGCCUCCAGCUGGCACCACCUCCGGGCGCUCCCUCUAAGUUUGACCUUGGAUCAGGUAGGGAUACCCCCUGAACUUAA